rnacentral:lncRNA from 1 species
CAUUAUGAGUUGUAAUUACCGACACUAUUAUAUAUAGUAUCAAAUACAAUGAGAAAGGCAUCAAGCCAGAAUUUAUAACAUGGUAUCAGAAGGUUCGAUCAAACCAAACCUUUGAAAUUGUGUUAUCUUGGGCUUGUCCGGCGACACCCACUGUGUCGUUCUCGAAAUUGUCUCUUCCAUUCCGGUUCAUUGUCGGAUUCGUUCUGUUGUUUGCGGUUUCGUGCCGUAUCUUGAUUUUGUCUGGGUGAUUCUCGAUUUGAAGGAUUGAGAUCGUGAUUCUCGAUAUUGUUCUGGAUUGUCGUUACUUG